UUCCGGUUGAUCCUGCCGGAGGUGACUGCUUUGGGGGUUCGAUUAAGCCAUGCGAGUCGAGAGAUUUCGGAUCUCGGCAGACUGCUCAGUAACACGUGGAGAACCUACCCUAGGAAGGGACAUAACCUCGGGAAACUGAGGAUAAUAUCCCAUAGGUGAUCGGUGCUGGAAUGCCCGGUCGCUGAAAGCUCCGGCGUCCUAGGAUGGCUCUGCGGCCUAUCAGGUAGUAGCCAGGGUAAAGACCUGGCUAGCCGACGACGGGUACGGGCGGUGAGAGCCGUAGCCCGGAGAUGGACUCUGAGACACGAGUCCAGGCCCUACGGGGCGCAGCAGGCGCGAAAACUUCGCAAUGCGCGCGAGCGCGACGAGGGAACCCCCAGUGCCGACACUUAGUGUCGGCUGUUCGGGUGCUUAAAGGGCAUCCGGAGGAAGGGCUGGGUAAGACGGGUGCCAGCCGCCGCGGUAAUACCCGCAGCCCUAGUGGUCACCGAUGUUAUUGGGCCUAAAGCGUCCGUAGCCGGAUUGGUAAAUGCCCGGGUAAAUCGGGCCGCUCAACGGUCCGAAUUUCGGGCAAACUGCCGAUCUAGAGACCGGGAGAGGCCAGAGGUACUCUCGGGGUAGGGGUGAAAUCCUGUAAUCCCGAGGGGACCACCGGUGGCGAAGGCGUCUGGCUAGAACGGGUCUGACGGUGAGGGACGAAGCCCUGGGGAGCGAACCGGAUUAGAUACCCGGGUAGUCCAGGGUGUAAACGAUGCGGGUUUGGUGUCGGGGGUCCUGCGAGGGCACCCGGUGCCGGAGCGAAGGCGUUAAGCCCGCCGCCUGGGAAGUACGGCCGCAAGGUUGAAACUUAAAGGAAUUGGCGGGGGAGCACCGCAACGGGAGGAGCGUGCGGUUUAAUUGGAGUCAACGCCGGG
rnacentral:rRNA from 1 species